rnacentral:rRNA from 1 species
GUGCCAGCAGCCGCGGUAAUACGUAGGUGGCAAGCGUUGUCCGGAUUUACUGGGCGUAAAGCGCGCGCAGGCGGCUGGCCAAGUCCGAUGUGAAAGCUUCCGGCUUAACUGGAAAACGGCAUCGGAUACUGGUCGGCUGGAAGGUGGGAGAGGGUAGCGGAAUUCCCGGUGUAGUGGUGAAAUGCGUAGAUAUCGGGAGGAACACCAGUGGCGAAAGCGGCUACCUGGCCCACUCUUGACGCUGAGGCGCGAAAGCUAGGGGAGCAAACGGGAUUAGAUACCCUAGUAGUCC